GGGGCCUGGGAACUUUUCCCAUAGAUGAGGGGCCUAAGUCACAUGGCAGCAUCCCACAAGGUCCAUUUUUGGCCGCUCGGACAUUGCCUUCAAGGUUGCCGUGCGGAGACCCGUGCCGGAACUGUUGUUUGGCUGCAGAGUAGGUCAGCGAACUCAUUCCUGCUUCUGUUCUUUAGCCAGCUCUCAGGUAGUGUCUCCUGCUCCCACAGGGUGAAGCUGGCACAUAAAUCAGCCUUGGUUUGCCAGGACAAGGCUUCAAGAAGGCCACCCCGACUUAUGAUUUUCCCAGGUGGCACUGUUUUCCUGAGAGACACUGCAAAGCUUAUAAGGGUAUAAACCCCGUGGGCUGAGUCUGCACAUUGAAAGAGUACAGGAGCUGACGGUUUCCCCCUGGAGUCCUGGCUGUUUCUGAGAGCCGACAGUCCUUCUUCAUCUCUAUGUCUCCACUGCUGUUAGAGCUGUUUCAGACUUGCAAGGUGUCCGACAUUGUUGCAGUGUGCCUUAAAGCAUCAGUGUUUCUGUCACUGGAAAUGUGUGACUGCUCCGCUGGUGGCAGAUGGAGCUCUCGAUUGUUGCAGCCCUCCUGCCUUGUACCAUCGUCUACUCGGUGGCCCUGGGUCUCGCUCACCUCCUGAGCAGACAAACGGUUCUCCGCAGCUCCAGGUGGGGGCCGGCUCGGUCACUGCAGGUGGCAGAGAUUGAAAAGACCCUUCAAAUACCGGUCUCCUGCCUGUCCCUCGGAUUCAUCACCUGGCCAUCUGCUUCCUGUAAUGAGAAAGUAAAGAUGAAGAUGUCAGCCUCUCCAUCUGACCAGAAUGGCAAAAUCGUAAAGACAGCAAGAUGGUAUCAUCUGCCCUCAUGGACUGUUUAA
rnacentral:lncRNA from 1 species